ensembl:processed_transcript
ACUGUUGCUUUCACCUAACCAGGCCCUUGGGCUCAGCACUCUGGAAUCCAGUCUCACUUUGGAAUCCUGUCUUAUCUCUGUGUCUCUGAGCACCUGUCUUGUGUGAUAAUAGAAUGAGUGGGGUACAGGUCCUCUCUUAACAACUGACUUGUUCCAGAACCUCAGAACUGAAGUUUGCCAAAAGCUAUGAUGCCAGGCAGACAUUGGCAAUACUCUUUUCCUGUCCCUUGUAAGGAAUAAGAAGCCUUCUGCAGUCUGUGGUGUUAAGGCAUAAGCCUGGUUUUUGCCUUUCAUUUGAUCCAAAGCAAUUCUAGAUUUUUCAAGAAUGUUUUUUAGGCACAGGCAUUGGAACUGCAGGUAUACUUGUAUUUCUUCAACUAUGCCUGUGCUUCGAGCCACAGUUGUGGCAUUGUACUUUCCUGCCAUUUCUGCUUCACUGAAAUGCUUCUCUUAUUUCACUCUUCACCAUUGUAUUCUAUUUCUAUUAAUGGUGUAUGUUUGUAGUGGAGCGAGUACUACAAAAAAUGAACUCUACAUAUAAUCAUGGCCAAACCUGGGAUACCUUUUAUUACUAUCCUCUAGUUCAUAAAGGGAAAUCCCAUGCCAUGAAAUUCAAGCUGCAGCUAAGUAAGGUCUGACGAACUCCAGGCCCAUCCAUUUUCCUGCAAAUGUUAAGGCUCCAUUCUUUUUAUGGCAGAAUAAAAUUCCAUUAUGUGUAUGUACCAUAUUUUUAAAAUCCAUUCAUCUGUAAAUGGAACUUUAGGUUGAUUCUAUAUCUUAGCUAUUGUAAAUAGUAUAGCAAUAAAUAUGGCUGAGCAAGUAUCUCUGUGUUAGGAUAUAGAGUCCUUUGGGUACAUGACCAGGAGUUGUAUAACUAGGUGUGUGUGUGUGUGUGUGUGUGUGUGUGUGUGUGUACACCCUUCAAACUAAGCUUCUUUGUGAAUACACUACUUUGCAUUGCCAGCAGCAGUGUAUAAAGGUUCCUUUCACUCCUGCAUUCACACCAUCAUCUGUUGUUGUAUCUAAUAGGACUUUAGAAACAUUCAUUUUUUUUCCUCAAUGGACAAUGCCUGGUUGAAAUGAGUUAGCCACCUACAGGCUUUCAAAGCAGAACCUCCCAAUUCAUCCUGCCAAAAGGAUAUACUCAUUUGAUAGAUGGCUUCCUGUUUGUACACAGAAGGAACACUGAAGUAAGCCUGGGACAGGAUAAAGCCAAUGUGUCAGACAGGAAAUUUUACUUCUGAGUAUUCAGGGAGAAAGGAGCAUUGCUCAAUGCACUAGGAAUUCUACAAAAAUGGUUACCCCCCUGAGAUUGCAAAGCCUAGGAACCACGCUGGCCCACAAUUAGUGCAAUUUCGAAACUGCACCACUGCACCACUAAACAAUUACACUUUUCUUUUAAGACUGUUAACCUUUCCGUCUGGUAGUUUUAAACACAGUUAUCUACACUGUAUAUUUGCCUAAAAACAGUCUUGAUGGCAAAAUCAAAAGCUGGGUCAUUCCACACUCAUUUAAAUUAAGGGAACCCAGAGAAAGGUCGCAAAAUUCAUAUAUGAUGUUUUGUAGAUGUUGUUAUUUGGACUCAAGAGCAUUUGUCUCUGUAUAUUUGUAACUUUGAAUCUGCAUCUGAUUAUAAAGUGGAUAGUAGUAUUUAAAAAGUGUGGUGCAGCUAUCCCAUUGUACCCGAAAAAGAAACACACUAAAGGAGUUAAUUCCAAAGUGGAUAAAUUGAUAUUUAGCCAGUAAGAUGAGGGCAUGAGGGGAAAACUGCAUGCACGUCAGCUCUGUGCCCCACUGUGCUCUGCUGACCAGGUGCAAAGAGAAAUAUGAGGAUCUGAGGGUGCUUUGGUUUUUAUUGCCAAAGGCAGCUGUGAUGAACAUUCCAGACCCUGGGGCAGAAGUUAGACAGAGCUGCCAGAAGGAACAAUGAAAGGGAUUCUAAUAGUUCAGUUUGUAUAUAAAACUGAGCCAAGGAGAACUGAGUAAGCACAGACGGUAUUACUGUAAUACAUCUAAUAUGUUUACAUAUACUCUUUACUCU